rnacentral:tRNA from 2 species
GCAUCCGUAGCUCAGCUGGAUAGAGUACUCGCCUACGAACCGAGCGGUCGGAGGUUCGAAUCCUCCCGGAUGCACCA